rnacentral:rRNA from 1 species
CCUACGAGAGGCUGCAGUGGGGAAUCUUCCGCAAUGGGCGAAAGCCUGACGGAGCAACGCCGCGUGAUCGAAUGAAGGCCUUCGGGUUGUAAAGAUCUGUUGACAGGGACGAAUAAGCCAUGCGAAUAGUUUGGUGUAUGACGGUAUCUGUUAAGAACGCUCCGGCUAACUACGUGCAAGCAGCCGCGGUAAUACGUAGGGAGCAUGCGUUGUCCGGAGUUACUGGGCGUAAAGGGCGCGUAGGUGGGUGCUCAAGUCAGGUGUGAAACCUCUGGGCUCAACCUGGGGACUGCACUGGAAACUGGGUAGCUUGAGGGCAGGAGAGGAAAGUGGAAUUCGUAGUGUAGCGGUGAAAUGCGUAGAUAUGAGGAGGAACACCAGUGGCGAAGGCGACUUUCUGGACUGUAACUGACGCUGAGGCGCGAAAGCGUGGGUAGCGAACGGGAUUAGAUACCCCAGUAGUC